UCCGGUAUGGUGUAAUGGUUAACAUCGCCCGCUCUCACCGUGCAGCUCAGGGUUCGAUUCCCUGUACCGGAG
rnacentral:tRNA from 1 species